CAGCCGCCACGGUAAUACGUAGGGUGCAAGCGUUAAUCGGAAUUACUGGGCGUAAAGCGUGCGCAGGCGGGUUGUUAAGACAGAUGUGAAAUCCCCGGGCUCAACCUGGGAACUGCAUUUGUGACUGGCAAGCUAGAGUCUGGCAGAGGGGGGUGGAAUUCCGCGUGUAGCAGUGAAAUGCGUAGAUAUGCGGAGGAACACCGAUGGCGAAGGCAGCCUCCUGGGCCAAUACUGACGCUCAUGCACGAAAGCGUGGGGAGCAAACAGGAUUAGAUACCCCAGUAGUCCCUGUCUCUUAUAC
rnacentral:rRNA from 1 species